GACGAACGCUGGCGGCAGGCCUAACACAUGCAAGUCGAGCGAGCGGCGGACGGGUGAGUAAUGUCUGGGAAACUGCCUGCUGGAGGGGGAUAACUAGUGGAAACGGUAGCUAAUACCGCAUACCAUCAGAUGUGCCCAGAUUGGAUUAGCUAGUAGGUGGGGUAACGGCUCACCUAGGCGACGAUCCCUAGCUGGUAUGAGAGGAGGACCAGCCACACUGGAACGGAGACACGUUCCAGCCUCCUACGGGAGGCAGCAGUGGGGAAUAUUGCACAAUGGGCGCAAUCCUGAUGCAGCCAUGCCGCGUGUAUGAAGAAGGCCUUCGGGUUGUAAAGUACUUUCAGCGGGGAGGCGUUACCCGCAGAAGAAGCCCCGGCUAACUCCGUGCCAGCAGCCGCGGUAAUAC
rnacentral:rRNA from 1 species